GAUGAACGCUAGCGGCAGGCCUAACACAUGCAAGUCGAGGGGCAGCACAGGUAGCAAUACUGGGUGGCGACCGGCGGAUGGGUGCGUAACGCGUAUGCAACCUACCAUUGAUUGGGGCAUAGCCCGAAGAAAUUCGGAUUAAUACUCCAUAAUAUUCAUCAAAGGCAUCUUUUAUGAAUUAAAGCUUUUGCGAUCAAUGAUGGGCAUGCGUGACAUUAGUUAGUUGGUGAGGUAACGGCUCACCAAAACGAUGAUGUCUAGGGGUUCUGAGAGGAUUAUCCCCCACACUGGUACUGAGACACGGACCAGACUCCUACGGGAGGCAGCAGUGAGGAAUAUUGGUCAAUGGACGCAAGUCUGAACCAGCCAUGCCGCAUGCAGGAUGACGGCCCUAUGGGUUGUAAACUGCUUUUCCACGGGAAGAACCCCUCCGACGUGUCGGAGACUGACGGUACCGCGGGAAUAAGCAUCGGCUAACU
rnacentral:rRNA from 1 species